UCCCUGGUGGCUCAGCCAGUCAAAGUGUCUGCCUACAAUGCGGGAGACUCAGGUUCAAUCCCUGGGUGGGGAA
rfam:TPA: Bos taurus chromosome 8, whole genome shotgun sequence.